rnacentral:misc_RNA from 1 species
UCUCCGUUGGUGAACCAGCGGAGGGAUCAUUAUCGAGUUUAUAACUCCCAAACCCUAUGUGAACUUACCACUUGUUACUUCGGCGCGCGCUUCGGCGCCGCCGAGGACACUUAAACUCUUUGUUUUUAUAAGCAUUUCUGAGUGGCCGAAAGGCAAAAUACAAAUGAAUCAAAACUUUCAACAACGGAUCUCUUGGUUCUG